UUAAAUCAUUACAUAUUACGUCUGCGGGUCGCGUCGAGUUUUGCGCGUAAUUACAUCAUUUGACUCCAGUCGAAGUUUCGGUAAUGUGUUUUUAUUAUUUAUAGACGCGGAAACUGGUUUGAAUUACGAAAAAAAGUGCUUGUUUGCAUUAAGUAACGUUUUUUUUGUUUGCUCGUUAGUUCUAAUAAGUGUCGAAAUAUAAAAACAGCAAGUGCGAUGUUUCGCGAUUGUUAAAAUGUGUUUGCAUUGUGAGUUACACCUUUGAUUUGCGCACAAUCAAUAAUAUUAUCAAAUAAUUUAAUUAGUUUAGAAAUAUUAAUCAUGGAAAAGGUUUUAAACGUGGUAAAAAGUAGUUUUGUAAGUGUGUGUGCCGUUUUAAUGGAUAUUCCUGUUAAUAAUUACCGCAUUACGAUAAAGUAUGCCAAGCAAAUCAAGAACUACCUCAAUUUACGAUGAUCUAAACAUUUUAUGACCUGCAAAUGUUGCGGGUUAUGUCAAUAUUUUAAGAGCAAUUCUCACUCUAUUCCUUAAAAAAAGUGUAAAGUUGAAAAUAUAAGUGAUGUUAAUGAUAAUAAUUAGUUUAUUAUUAACUUAUAAACAACUUGUCACCACAUAAUUACCAUAAUAAUUAUAUUUACCAUCAAAA